AAGUCGUAACAAGGUCUCCGUAGGUGAACCUGCGGAGGGAUCAUUACUGAGUGAGGGCCCUCGUGGUCCGACCUCCAACCCACUGUUGUCCGACUCUGUUGCCUCGGGGGCGACCCGGCGCAUCGGCGCCAGGGGUCCCCGCUGGUCCACACAACUCUGCAUCUUUGCGUCUGAGUAAACAUUAAAUGAAACAAAACUUUCAACAACGGAUCUCUUGGUUCUG
rnacentral:misc_RNA from 1 species